UUGCCUACGGGGGGCAGCAGUGGGGAAUAUUGCACAAUGGGCGAAAGCCUGAUGCAGCGACGCCGCGUGCGGGAUGAAGGCCUUCGGGUUGUAAACCGCUUUUGAUUGGGAGCAAGCGAGAGUGAGUGUACCUUUCGAAUAAGCACCGGCUAACUACGUGCCAGCAGCCGCGGUAAUACGUAGGGUGCAAGCGUUAUCCGGAAUUAUUGGGCGUAAAGAGCUCGUAGGCGGUUUGUCGCGUCUGGUGUGAAAGUCCAUCGCUUAACGGUGGAUCUGCGCCGGGUACGGGCAGGCUAGAGUGCGAG
rnacentral:rRNA from 1 species